GUGGGGAAUAUUGGGCAAUGGGCGAAAGCCUGACCCAGCAACGCCGCGUGAAGGAAGAAGGUCUUCGGAUCGUAAACUUCUAUCCUUGGUGAAGAUAAUGACGGUAGCCAAGAAGGAAGCCCCGGCUAACUACGUGCCAGCAGCCGCGGUAAUACGUAGGGGGCAAGCGUUGUCCGGAAUGAUUGGGCGUAAAGGGCGCGUAGGCGGCCCGGUAAGUCUGAAGUGAAAGUCCUGCUUUUAAGGUGGGAAUUGCUUUGGAUACUGUCGGGCUUGAGUGCAGGAGAGGUAAGCGGAAUUCCCGGUGUAGCGGUGAAAUGCGUAGAGAUCGGGAGGAACACCAGUGGCGAAGGCGGCUUACUGGACUGUAACUGACGCUGAGGCGCGAAAGUGUGGGGAGCAAACAGGAUUAGAUACCCCAGUAGUCC
rnacentral:rRNA from 1 species